rnacentral:rRNA from 1 species
UGGGUAACCUGCCUGUAAGACUGGGAUAACUCCGGGAAACCGGGGCUAAUACCGGAUGGUUGUCUGAACCGCAUGGUUCAGACAUAAAAGGUGGCUUCGGCUACCACUUACAGAUGGACCCGCGGCGCAUUAGCUAGUUGGUGAGGUAACGGCUCACCAAGGCGACGAUGCGUAGCCGACCUGAGAGGGUGAUCGGCCACACUGGGACUGAGACACGGCCCAGACUCCUACGGGAGGCAGCAGUAGGGAAUCUUCCGCAAUGGACGAAAGUCUGACGGAGCAACGCCGCGUGAGUGAUGAAGGUUUUCGGAUCGUAAAGCUCUGUUGUUAGGGAAGAACAAGUGCCGUUCAAAUAGGGCGGCACCUUGACGGUACCUAACCAGAAAGCCACGGCUAACUACGUGCCAGCAGCCGCGGUAAUACGUAGGUGGCAAGCGUUGUCCGGAAUUAUUGGGCGUAAAGGGCUCGCAGGCGGUUUCUUAAGUCUGAUGUGAAAGCCCCCGGCUCAACCGGGGAGGGUCAUUGGAAACUGGGGAACUUGAGUGCAGAAGAGGAGAGUGGAAUUCCACGUGUAGCGGUGAAAUGCGUAGAGAUGUGGAGGAACACCAGUGGCGAAGGCGACUCUCUGGUCUGUAACUGACGCUGAGGAGCGAAAGCGUGGGGAGCGAACAGGAUUAGAUACCCUGGUAGUCCACGCCGUAAACGAUGAGUGCUAAGUGUUAGGGGGUUUCCGCCCCUUAGUGCUGCAGCUAACGCAUUAAGCACUCCGCCUGGGGAGUACGGUCGCAAGACUGAAACUCAAAGGAAUUGACGGGGGCCCGCACAAGCGGUGGAGCAUGUGGUUUAAUUCGAAGCAACGCGAAGAACCUUACCAGGUCUUGACAUCCUCUGACAAUCCUAGAGAUAGGACGUCCCCUUCGGGGGCAGAGUGACAGGUGGUGCAUGGUGUCGUCAGCU